AAAGCCCACUGUCUCCCAUCUUACUGUGUUUAUAGAAACUGCUCUCCAGACCAGCAGGGGGAGCUUGUUCUGCCCAGCAACUUUGAUGUAAGUAUUUUAAGAUAGUUAAAGCAUUAAUGCCUUCCUUUUUUAUUUUAUAGGUGUGUGUUUGAGGACAUGGAUUGUUAUUAUUUUGCCAUGUAGCACCUGUUGCCUUCGUCCUCUGCGUAUGACAAACAGCAGUGGUUGCAUCGUAAUAGGUUCUCAUUUUUCUGCAGGAGUUUCUCUGGUUUCUUAGGUUCUGAUUUGCUAAAAAUGAGCAGAGACGACUUCAUUCAGAUCUGUGGGCCUGCUGAUGGAAUCCGUCUUUUUAAUACAAUCGAGGGGAGGUGCGUACAACCACGUCUCACUGUCUAUGUAUCUCAGCUGCAGAAUAGAUAUCAAUCACAUGCCAAAGGAGGGGCUGAUGGAGGUAAGAGACAGCACAUUGUUUAUGAUACCUGUGACAUGCAGGAACCAUUCAGACGUAUUCCUAAUACUCCGGCUUUUCAUUUUUUUGUUUGUAGUCUACCAUGCCCUGUACCUAGAGGACCUUAAGGGCGAUUUAUACUCGUGCGUAGGUCCUACGGCGUAGCAGCGACGGCGUAGGUUCCGCGUCGGUUUUCAUUUAUACUUGUGCGUCGCCGUCCGCGUCGACGUGCAAAGACACGCGAAACCGCUGGUUGGCAGUAAUCACGCGUGUAACCACAGUAGCAGCAGAAGUCGUCACAGAAGAAGAAGCUAAGCAAGUUAACCCACAAACGAAGAAAAAAUAGCAACUUGUUGUGUAUAAUUUGAGAAGACCAGCAAUGAUGUAAGUAAAUAAACAGCGACUUAUGUUGCAGUUUUAGUUAAAUCACUCCUCGACUUGGCUCAUCUUUGUUUUCACCAUAGAUAUGUAUAUAAAGGCUAGAUGGCUCGUCCGCGCUGAUGGCCAAUUGAGUGGAACGUCCGCAUUUUGGCGGCCAUCUUAGGACAGGGCGCUCGCUCACUCGUAGCAUUGAGUUUUAAUGAUGCAGGUACUUUUAAAUGACCAUAACUUGCUUAAUUUUUUACCGAUUUUCAAACGGAUUGGUUUGUUAUAAACGUCAAAGAUGUACCUAUGACACUGAAUACGUAUACUAAAAAUAAAUAAAAAAUUCAUGGAACAUGUUAAAGCAUCCAGAAUUAUAGCCACGUUAAUAACGUUUGUAAAAAACCAAACCGUUAGUAAAUCCGUCAAGAAUUCAGCAAGUUACGAGCAUUUUAGUUGGCGUAUGUCACUCACCUUCCGUCCACAGCAGCAGGGAGCAGCACUAUGGCAGCACUGACCUAAGAUGGCCGCCAAGUGACGACACAGCUGACUCCGCCUUGAGCCAUCUAGCCUUUAUAUACA